AUACUACACAAAACGUGUGGGUGAGACCCUGCGUUCAGGUUCGAGCCGAGCGAAGCGAGACAGCAACGCGUAGCGUUGACCCGAAGGGCGAGUCCAUAGGACGAGUAAUCCCGCACGACCCACCA
rnacentral:sRNA from 2 species